rnacentral:tRNA from 1 species
UCUAAUGUGGCAGAUAAAUGCAACAAGCUUAAGAUUUGUACAUAAAUAAUUUUAUUUUGUUAGAA